GAAAGGUUUGGUCCUAGCCUUAUUAUCAGUUUUUUCUUAAAUUACACAUGCAAGUCUCAGCACACCCGUGAGGAUACCCUUAUACCCUUAACCAGGCCAAGGAGAUGGCAUCAGGCGCAACACCUGCCCACAACGCCUAGUCCCACCACACCCCCAAGGGCAUUCAGCAGUGAUAAAUAUUGCUCAUAAGCUAUAGCUUGAAUCAGUUAAAGAAAGUAGAGCCGGCCAACUCGGUGCCAGCCGCCGCGGCUAAACCGCACGGACUCAAAUUGAUAGUUGUCGGCGUUAAGCGUGAUUAAAGUUCCUCUCAAUUAGAAUAAAACCUACCCUUAGCUGUGAAAAGCUUGAUGCUAGAGAAAACCAUAAACGAAAGUUAUUCUAAUAAUUACUUGAAUACACGACAGCUAGGAAACAAACUGGGAUCAGAUACCCCACUAUGCCUAGCCGUAAAAUAUUAAUUCACACCCACCAACGCCAGGGUAUUAUGAGCCCUAGCUUGAAACCCAAAGGACUUGACGGUGUCCCAUCCACCUAGAGGAGCCUGUUCCAUAAUCGAUAAUCCCCGCUAUACCUAACCACCCUUUGCCAAUCAGUCUGUAUACCUCCGUCGCAAGCUUACCAUAUGAAUGCUUAUAGUAAGUUUAAUGACCACAAACACCAAUACGUCAGGUCAAGGUGCAGCUCAUGAGGUGGCAGGCAAUGGGCUACAAUUUCUAUAUUAGAACAAACGAAACGCUGCAUGAAACACAGCUACGAAGGCGGAUUUAGUAGUAAAAAGAAAAUAGCGUGUUCUUUUUAACUAGGCCCUGGGACGUGUACACACCGCCCGUCGCCCUCUUCAACAGUAACAAAUAAAUUUAUAAUUUCCAAACACGCCUCAGAAGAGGUAAGUCGUAACAUGGUAAGUCUACCGGAAGGUGCACUUGGAUUAA
rnacentral:ncRNA from 1 species